rnacentral:rRNA from 1 species
GAUGAACGCUGGCGGCGUGCCUAAUACAUGCAAGUCGAGCGAACGGACGAGAAGCUUGCUUCUCUGAUGUUAGCGGCGGACGGGUGAGUAACACGUGGAUAACCUACCUAUAAGACUGGGAUAACUUCGGGAAACCGGAGCUAAUACCGGAUGAUAUUUUGAACCGCAUGGUUCAAAAGUGAAAGACGGUCUUGCUGUCACUUAUAGAUGGAUCCGCGCUGCAUUAGCUAGUUGGUAAGGUAACGGCUUACCAAGGCAACGAUGCAUAGCCGACCUGAGAGGGUGAUAGGCCACACUGGAACGGAGACACGGUCCAUACUCCUACGGGAGGCAGCAGUAGGGAAUCUUCCGCAAUGGGCGAAAGCCUGACGGAGCAACGCCGCGUGAGUGAUGAAGGUCUUCGGAUCGUAAAACUCUGUUAUUAGGGAAGAACAUAUGUGUAAGUAACUGUGCACAUCUUGACGGUACCUAAUCAGAAAGCCACGGCUAACUACGUG